GUAUUAUGUUUAUUAUGAUCACAUUCUAUGACUUUAACAAUUGGGGUAUGAAAUGUGAAAACAUAGACAUGGCCUUGAAGAAACCAAAAAGGCAGCCAACUUUUUGUUAAAGCCAGCAGACCCUUCAAAAACCCAAAUCAAUGCAAAAAAAGCAUCAACUUGACCAAUGCCAAGCCUACAAAAGGUGCACAGGUGGUUGAUAAAAAGCGUGAAAAGAGAGCGUGCACAUGCUUCCAUUAUGACAAUAAAAGCCAGCAACAACCCUUCCCUUCCAACUUUAAAUUCGAUAAUGAUCCUUCCGCAGGUUCACCUACGGAAA
rnacentral:misc_RNA from 1 species